GUUACAGCAAAUAAUAAUGCAAAUCAUUUAUUACAUAAGGUAAAGUGCUUUUCAAUUUACAGAACAAAGUGCAUAAAAUAAAACAUUUGACGCGGCAACUAGACAUAGCAACGGACACAAAGAACACAGCUGACACUACAAAUGACAAGGACACCAAGGAUGACAGCUAUCAACAGACAGCCUUCCUGUCACACCCUGAUCUGUUUCACCUGUCUUUGUGCUUAUCUCCACCCCCCCACCAGGAGUCUCCCAUCUCCCUCAUUAUCCCCUGUGUAUUUAUACCUGCGUUUUCAGAUGGUCUGUUCCCAGUUCGCCUUGUCCCGUCAAGUCUCACCAGCGUGUUACAGUGUUUCCUGUGCUCUAGUUUUUGUUUUUCCUAGUCUUCCCAGUUCUGACCUUUCUGCCUGUCCGACCUGAUCCUGCCUGAAUCUGAUUUGGAUUAUGACUCUUUGCCUGCCUUGACUUACCUUUUUCCUGCUCCUUGUUAUAUAAUAAACUCUGAGAUUCGUACUAUCCACCUCCUGUGUCUGCAUUGGGGUCUUAGCCUGAGCCUUGAUACUUCCUAAAGAGAAAGGUCAGUUUUAAAGGAGCCCAGAGUCUGUGGUGCCUUCAGGUGGUCCGGGAGGGACCUCGGUGCUUGGUCCUGGGGGCGUGACCUGAAGGUGGGGUUAUGGAGGGAGAGCAGUUCUUUGCGAUAAGGAUUGGGCCGAGGGGCAUUGCCAUGAAUAUACUGGAAAGUCAGCAGGAGGGUUUUGAAUUCAAUCAGGAAUUAGACGGGGAGCCAGCGCAAAGGUGCCAGGAUGGUGGUGAUGUGAUGGUGUUUCCGUACUCUCAUCAGGAUACUGGCAGCACAGUAUUGGAGCUUCUGGAGACUUCUGCCAGGGAUUCCGAUGAACAGUGCAUUGCAGUCGUCCAGCAUUGAGGACAUAAAGGCAUGGACAAGCUUAUCUGCAUCAGAACAGUUACUACAUCAGUGAAGCACCUGGACAUCCACAUCAAGGACUGUCAUCCCUGCCUAACAUCAAACCUCAGAGGAGAGGAAUGGAGGGAAGAAUGGAUAGAAGGAUGUAGGGAUGAAGGGAUGGAAAAAGGGUUCAGAGAGAGGGCAAGUUAAAAUAACAUACACCUGCAUACAAAGAAACACCUGCAUGCACACCGAUAGACAAACAAACAGACACACACACAGACACACAGAGCCAAAGUAAGACAUACAUUGUCGUGGUAACAGCCAAACAAAGUUUAGCCGCUCUAAAGGUCACCAGACAGUUAAUUCAUCCCAUUUUUCUUCCAUAACUCCGCACUCUGUUCCUCUCCCUCCCUCUCUAUUUUGAUCUCUCAGCUUUAAUAGAUUGCUCCCUCGCUUGUUUACCUGACUGCUGUCUUGUUUCAUUUCCCUCUCUGUUAAUCUUGUUCCCCCUGUCCCUCUUUCUUCUGACCUCUUAUGUCAUCUCCUCUUAGACUUGCUCAUCUCUUGUUCACUGACGUACACUCCUCCAGGUGUCUCUCUCACUUUCUCUCUCCUUCUCUUUACCCCCCCCUCUCUUUUUUUUAAGGCCAUCUCAGCCCUCUGGCUCACAUCCAUCUGAGAGGAGGCAGAGGGGAAUGAGGACUGGUUCUGUCCCUCAACAGCAAGCAUCUGUUUCACUCUGGUGCCAUCUAGUUGACCAGACUAAAACUGCAGCAGACUAUAUUCUCUCUCGCUCUCGCUCUCUCUCUCUCACUCACACACAAACACGUGCACAUGCACACAUGAACACAUGCAAAUGCAAGCAUUUAUUCAAAACAACAGCUGACUCGUAGAGUGGUUAGCAGUUGCAGUGGAAAUAUGUAGAAAAACCUGUCUGAGAAGGAAGAGAAUAGGAGAGGGAGAGUUUGGUGAGUGAUUAGGGGGUGAAUGGAUAAACUGUAGUAGUCAAUGGGCCACCCACCAAUAAAUGCUUCAGAAAAGGCAUUGCAAAGUUUCAACAUAAUUACGUAGAUAAUUUAAUGGAAAUUAACACUGUGUGGUUUAAUAAUGGUACAAGUUGCAGAUUAAUUAAAUAUUAUAAAUCAAAAGGUAACAUUUUUAAAUCAUAGCACAUUUUGGGUAAUUUCCCCUAAUGCAUUUUGGGUAAUUUCCCCUAGCAACAUUAUGAGGUUGCUAUUUUACACCUAGGUUACAAUUGUUAAACAUGUUCCAUUGUCCAUGCUUGCAGGAAGCAAUUUAAGUGAAGGACCAGAGGAAUCCUGAAAUAACACGAGAUUAGAAGCUGUUGAAAGGUGCUAAAAGCAUUUUUCUCAGAUGCCAGAAUAGCAGUCUAUGCAGCUUUCUGGACCUUGAAUGUUUUGAGAGCUGUUGUUAGCUAGCAAAUUGCUGUCUUUAGUUUGGAUAGCAGGCAAACACAAUGGUGGCCCUUGUAGGCUAAAUAUAUCUGGCAAAAUGUCUUAUAUUAACUGAGAACACCACUACAUGGUUAAAACAUAUUACCUAAUUUCAGGGUUAAUCUGGAUCAGUGAAGGACUGGUAAGUGCUGCUUGAAUUUAUGCAAGGACAAACAUGAAUAGUGAAUAGUGUGACUAGUGUGUGUAAGUACAGUAGUAUUUUUGUUGUGUCUUUCCAAUAUUUAACUAUUUUCUUCUUAUUUUUUUUAAUGUUUUUGAUUAUUAUUCUAAUAAUUGUAUUUAAUGUCCUUGUCUAUAACUGUUCUGUACUUUGUCAUGUUCUGUGAGUUUGUGUGGCCUACCACUUCGCAGCUGAGCUUUUUUGAUCCUAGAUGUUUCUACUUCACAAUAACAGCACUUACA